UAAUUAGAAGUGGUCACAUGUCAAAAUAAAGAGAAGUUCAACCAUGAAGACCUCUCACAUGUGGAAGAAAUUCAGAGUUCAGAUCCAGUUGAAAUCCAUGACAGAUUGAAGACCAUGUGGUAUUUUGAAUAUUUUGGAAGCUACAGAAGUCUGAUUAAGUUGAUUCAAAUUUUGUUGGAAAGUAGACAUCCGUAGAUUUCCAAU
rnacentral:lncRNA from 1 species